rnacentral:rRNA from 1 species
CCUACGGGUGGCACCAGUGGGGAAUAUUGCACAAUGGGCGCAAGCCUGACGCAGCCACGCCGCGUGUAUGAAGAAGGCCUUCGGGUUGUAAAGUACUUUCAGCGGGGAGGAAGGUGUUGUGGUUAAUAACCGCAGCAAUUGACGUUACCCGCAGAAGAAGCACCGGCUAACUCCGUGCCAGCAGCCGCGGUAAUACGGAGGGUGCAAGCGUUAAUCGGAAUUACUGGGCGUAAAGCGCACGCAGGCGGUCUGUCAAGUCGGAUGUGAAAUCCCCGGGCUCAACCUGGGAACUGCAUUCGAAACUGGCAGGCUAGAGUCUUGUAGAGGGGGGUAGAAUUCCAGGUGUAGCGGUGAAAUGCGUAGAGAUCUGGAGGAAUACCGGUGGCGAAGGCGGCCCCCUGGACAAGGACUGACGCUCAGGUGCGAAAGCGUGGGGAGCAAACAGGAUUAGAUACCCCCGUAGUC